GUCAAGAUAUUAAGGGCUACUGGUGAAUGCCUUGGUAUCGACAGGCGAUGAAGGACGCGCAUACCUGCGAAAAUUUUCGGGGAGCUGGAAAGAAGCUUUGAUCCGGAGGUAUCCGAAUGGGGAAACCCAAUAGAUGUAAUGAUCUAUUAUUUAUAUCUGAAUACAUAGGAUAUAAAAGCAAUACCCGCCGAAGUGAAACAUCUCAGUAAGCGGAGGAAUAUAAAUCAAAACGAGAUUCCCUGAGUAGCGGCGAGCGAAACGGGAAAAGCCCAAACCAGAGAAUUUAUUUUCUGGGGUUGUAGGGCAAGCUGUUAAUGUCUUAAUUUGUAAGCAGAACUAUCUGGAAAGUUAGGUAACAUAGGGUGAUAGCCCCGUAUGCAAAUACAAAGAGAGAAAAAGCUUGUUCCUGAGUAAGGCCAGACACGUGAAACCUGGUCUGAAGCUGGGGAGACCACUCUCCAAGGCUAAAUACUCGUCGAUAACCGAUAGUGAACCAGUACCGUGAGGGAAAGGUGAAAAGAACCCCUGUUAGGGGAGUGAAAUAGAACCUGAAACCAGUAGCUUACAAGCGGUCAGAGACCUAUGCUCCUUUUAGGAAGAUGGUUGAUGGCGUGCCUUUUGCAUGAUGAGCCAGCGAGUUAUGUUAUAUGGCUAGGUUAAGGAAUAUACAUUCCGGAGCCGCAGCGAAAGCGAGUGUGAAUAGCGCGUUUUGUCAUAUGAUGUAGACACGAAACCAAGUGAUCUAUCCAUGGCCAGGUUGAAGCAAAGGUAAGACUUUGUGGAGGACCGAACCAGUUGCUGUUGAAAAAGCUUUGGAUGAGCUGUGGAUAGGGGUGAAAGGCCAAUCAAACUUGGUAAUAUCUUGUUCUCUCCGAAAUAACUUUAGGGUUAGCCUCGACAUACUCUUGUAUGGGGGUAGAGCACUGGAUCCAUGCGGGGGCUUACCGGCCUACCAAAGGGAACCAAACUCCGAAUACCAUGCAAGCGGUCGGGAGAUAGACUGUGGGGGAUAAGCUUCAUAGUCGAGAGGGGAACAGCCCAGACCGCCGAUUAAGGCCCCUAAUUCUAUGCUAAGUGAGUAAGGAAGUGAAGUUUCAAAGACAGUUGGGAUGUUGGCUUAGAAGCAGCCACCAUUUAAAGAGUGCGUAACAGCUCACCAAUCGAGAAACUUUGCGCCGAUAAUUCAUGGGACUAAGUAUAGAGCCGAAAUCGCGGAUGUAUAUUUUAUAUACGUGGUAGGAGAGCGUAGUAUAUGCGCCGAAGGUGUACCGUAAGGAGCGCUGGAGCGUAUACUAGUGAAGAUGCAUGGCAUAAGUACACGAUAAAGAGGGUGAGAAUCCCUCUCGCCGAAAACCCAAGGUUUCCAGGGUAAAGCUCGUCUUCCCUGGGUUAGCCGGCCCCUAAGCUAAGGCUGAAAAGCGUAGGCGAUGGGAAACAGGUUAAAUAUUCCUGUGCUAUCUAAAGCAAUGGGAUGGGGUGACGAAGUGAGUGAAGCACGCGGACUGUUGGUGUUCCGUUUUGUUAUGAGGUUGGCUAGUAGUUAAAUGCGCUAGCGUAAUACCAGGUAACGAACGAGGGAAACCCUUGUGGGGAACUGAAGGUGUGAAACAAGCUUCCAAGAAAUAACCUCUAACCGCUGAUGGUAACCGUACCGUAAACCGACACAGGUGGGUGGGAAGAAUAUUCUAAGGCGCGCGAGAGAACUCUUGUUAAGGAACUCGGCAAAUUGUCCUCGUAACUUCGGGAGAAGAGGAGCCGCUGAUGGUGCGUAUCCUUGCGAUACAAGCUUUUGGCGGCCGCAGAGAAUCGGCCCAGGCGACUGUUUAUCAAAAACACAGCACUAUGCAAAGUCGUUAAGACGACGUAUAUGGUGUGAAGCCUGCCCAAUGCCAAAAGGUCAAAGGGAAGGGUUAGUCUUCGGACAAAGCUCUGAACUUAAGCCCUGGUGAAUGGCGGCCGUAACAAUAACGGUCCUAAGGUAGCGAAAUUCC
rnacentral:rRNA from 12 species